CGAGUGACGAAUGAUAGUGUUAACAUUAAACAGCUUGCCUAUGAUGUCUUUCAGGCGUUCCUCCCCAAUGGAUCACCUGCUGCCCCAUCUGCUAGAAGAUAACCCAGAACAGAAGAACAUUACCUCAUUAAAGAAAGCUGGCUGUAAUUACGAACAGAGAUGAAGCAACACCUCCCAGGGCUGAGGUUGAAGGUCUGCACAGCCUUUAAAAUUCCUCAUCGGAAAAUUAAUUUCCAUAUGCGGGCAAUAGUGAAAUCCAUAAAAUGUAUCCACCUCUAAAUGGCCAAACUGAGUGUCAACGAUUUAGUUAAAGGAGCCCCACACAGAGAACAGGGGAAGGACAAGGCGGGAAUUAUUGAUGCUGGACUGUGGAAGAAGAGGGAGGAAAAAAGACAUCAAGACUUUGAGUAGACCACAUCUACAAAGUGGCAAAACUGAGCACUUUGGGCCAGAUCCUGUUCCACCUUUGGACAUCUACAUGGAUUUGGUCCAGAAGCCUGAGUCUCUUCCACCUUGUUGCAGCCCCUGAAUAUCCCUUAGUGCAUCUACUUGGAUAACACGUGGUCAUCUUUCGCUUCAGCCUGCAUCACAGAAAGGAAGAGCGACCUGCCUCUCCCCUGCCCCGCAGCUUUUGCAUUCACCUUUUUUCCCCCGGGAGCUUGAGCGAAGUAGAAGAGAAUGGCACUGAGGCACGGCCGGCCAGUUACGUGCCUAAUAGGUGAAACAGAAUCUGGUUUUUUUCUUCCAUUUUUUUUUUCUGUCAAAAGGGAAAUCCCAUGCAUAUUUUAGUUGCACAAAAAGGGCAAGUUUUUGUUAAGAUUUUUGAAUAAAUACUGUUGACCUUAGCA
rnacentral:lncRNA from 1 species